rnacentral:rRNA from 1 species
GUGGGGAAUAUUGGACAAUGGGGGCAACCCUGAUCCAGCAAUGCCGCGUGAGUGAUGAAGGCCUUAGGGUUGUAAAGCUCUUUUACCCACGACGAUGAUGACGGUAGUGGGAGAAUAAGCCCCGGCUAACUUCGUGCCAGCAGCCGCGGUAAUACGAAGGGGGCUAGCGUUGUUCGGAGUUACUGGGCGUAAAGGGCGCGUAGGCGGCGCACCAAGUCAGGCGUGAAAGCCCUGGGCUCAACCCGGGAAUUGCGCUUGAGACUGGUGUGCUUGAGUACGGGAGAGGAUAGUGGAAUUCCCAGUGUAGAGGUGAAAUUCGUAGAUAUUGGGAAGAACACCGGUGGCGAAGGCGGCUAUCUGGACCGUAACUGACGCUGAGGCGCGAAAGCGUGGGGAGCAAACAGGAUUAGAUACCCUUGUAGUCC